rnacentral:rRNA from 1 species
CGGGGUGAGUAACACGUGGGUAACCUGCCUAAAAAAGGGGAGUAACACUUGGAAACAGGUGCUAAUACCGUAUAUCUCUAAGGAUCGCAUGAUCCUUAGAUGAAAGAUGGUUCUGCUAUCGCUUUUAGAUGGACCCGCGGCGUAUUAACUAGUUGGUGGGGUAACGGCCUACCAAGGUGAUGAUACGUAGCCGAACUGAGAGGUUGAUCGGCCACAUUGGGACUGAGACACGGCCCAA